UGUUUCUUCAGGUUUAAAUGUACACAUUUAACGGUGGUUUAUUAACUAUUUAAUAUCUGUGAAAGUGCACAAAUGUGGGAAAAUUAAACAAAGCCGCUGGACGAACUUCUCGGGAUCCUUCAAAAAGUCCACUGCAAAAAUCUCAUGCCUGUUAAUUGCGGAAGAAAGGUCAAUAGUUUAAGACAACUGGAUUAUAACUGACACAAAAAUUUAAUGAGAUGCAGGUAACGUGCAUUCGGCUAAGUCCGAAAAUCGAGUUAUUCUAUGGAUUAUUCUAUAACAGUGGAAAGUUUUAUUUACCAUUAAAUGCCAACAUCAACAAAUGUUACUUUUUGAAGGUAAUCCAAAACGAAAAUGAAUAUAUUUCUUACUUAAAUAAAGUUUACUUUUAACUGUUAACUCUACAUUGCACUUUUAUAAAGAAUAAUGACUCAGGUCUCUUGUAGUAUAGAUGUUAUUUAAUAAAGACAAUCUUUUCAACUGAAUAAA